rnacentral:misc_RNA from 1 species
CGCUGCUUACCUUUCGAGCUCCAAGAACACGUACACACCAUGAGAAAAACUCGAAGUCAUACUUGGCCUCACCUCUCACCAAAACUCACCAACUCGCUUCUCUCUCCGCCAAAUCAUCACUUUGACUCACUGAUGCACAAUCCAAUGAAUCCAUUGUCCUUAGAGUCACUCUUUUUCCGAAGCUCUAGCACCGAGUCAUCAUCGUCCCC